rnacentral:rRNA from 1 species
UACGAAGGGUCCAAGCGUUAUCCGGAUUUAUUGGGUUUAAAGGGUGCGUAGGCGGCUUAUUAAGUCAGUGGUGAAAGACUUCAGCUUAACUGAAGAACUGCCAUUGAUACUGAUGAGCUUGAGUACAGUUGAGGUGGGCGGAAUGUGUCAUGUAGCGGUGAAAUGCUUAGAUAUGACACAGAACACCGAUUGCGAAGGCAGCUCGCUAAACUGUAACUGACGCUGAGGCACGAAAGCGUGGGGAGCAAACAGG